rnacentral:rRNA from 1 species
UAGGGAAUCUUCCGCAAUGGACGCAAGUCUGACGGAGCAACGCCGCGUGAGUGAAGAAGGAUUUCGGUUCGUAAAACUCUGUUGUUAGAGAAGAACAGCGCAUAGAGUAACUGUUAUGCGUGUGACGGUAUCUAACCAGAAAGCCACGGCUAACUACGUGCCAGCAGCCGCGGUAAUACGUAGGUGGCAAGCGUUGUCCGGAUUUAUUGGGCGUAAAGCGAGCGCAGGCGGUCAAUUAAGUCUGAUGUGAAAGCCCCCGGCUCAACCGGGGGGGGUCAUUGGAAACUGGUUGACAUGAGUGCAGAAGAGGAGAGUGGAAUUCCAUGUGUAGCGGUGAAAAGCAUAGAUAUAUGGAGGAACACCAGUGGCGAAGGCGACUCUCUGGUCUGUAACUGACGCUGAGGCUCGAAAGCGUGGGUAGCAAACAGG